rnacentral:rRNA from 1 species
AUACGUAGGUGACAAGCGUUAUCCGGAUUUACUGGGCGUAAAGGGCGUGUAGGCGGUCUUGCAAGUCAGAAGUGAAAUUCCUGAGCUCAACUCGGGCGCUGCUUCUGAAACUGCAGGACUUGAGUGCUGGAGGGGAUAGCGGAAUUCCUAGUGGAGCGGUAAAAUGCGCAGAUAUUAGGAAGAACACCGGUGGCGAAGGCGGCUAUCUGGAUAGGAACUGACGGUGGGGCGCGAAAGCGUGGGGAGCAAACAGGAUUAGAUACCCUGGUAGUCCACGCCAUAAACGAUGAAUACUAGGUGUAGGGGGUAUCGACUCCCUCUGUGCCGCAGUUAACACAAUAAGUAUUCCGCCUGGGGAGUACGGCCGCAAGGUUGAAACUCAAAUGAAUUGGCGGGG